CAUGCAAGUCGAGCGGAAACGAGUUAUCUGAACCUUCGGGGAACGAUAACGGCGUCGAGCGGCGGACGGGUGAGUAAUGCCUAGGAAAUUGCCCUGAUGUGGGGGAUAACCAUUGGAAACGAUGGCUAAUACCGCAUGAUGCCUACGGGCCAAAGAGGGGGACCUUCGGGCCUCUCGCGUCAGGAUAUGCCUAGGUGGGAUUAGCUAGUUGGUGAGGUAAGGGCUCACCAAGGCGACGAUCCCUAGCUGGUCUGAGAGGAUGAUCAGCCACACUGGAACUGAGACACGGUCCAGACUCCUACGGGAGGCAGCAGUGGGGAAUAUUGCACAAUGGGCGCAAGCCUGAUGCAGCCAUGCCGCGUGUGUGAAGAAGGCCUUCGGGUUGUAAAGCACUUUCAGUCGUGAGGAAGGUAGUGUAGUUAAUAGCUGCAUUAUUUGACGUUAGCGACAGAAGAAGCACCGGCUAACUCCGUGCCAGCAGCCGCGGUAAUACGGAGGGUGCGAGCGUUAAUCGGAAUUACUGGGCGUAAAGCGCAUGCAGGUGGUUUGUUAAGUCAGAUGUGAAAGCCCGGGGCUCAACCUCGGAAUAGCAUUUGAAACUGG
rnacentral:rRNA from 1 species